CACAGUGACACGCAGAUGAGCGCUGAGGGGUGGCUAAUUGCUCAGGGCAGGCUGACAUAAUGGAGCAGUUCUGAGAGCACCUCAGCUGUGGAGAUAUGUGCUGGCCCUCUGCUGCUGCCCUCCUGCACAGAUGCUCUCUCUCCUUCAUAGGAGAAAUCUCCAUUUCUCACCAAGAGGAGUCUGAAGAAUUGAGUGCCCAAAGAAUUUGCAUGGAAUUAUUCAUCCGGCUCAAGAUCUGCAGGACGCUCCUUCCCUCACUGUGCACAGACCAUGCUGGGGGUGGCACAUGCAGAUGGGCAGUGCUGGAGGGCACAAGCGACUGCAGUGGCUCCUUGCUGCUCCCACACAGACUGUGGAUGCCAUGGGGUUACAGCUGGCCUCGUCAGCAGCAGGAACGGAGCUCCGGCGUGUCCCUCUCCAUGGUGCAGGCUGGGCACAGGAGUGGUGCUUACAUAGGUGAGGAGAAAGCGUUUUUGCAACAGCAUGGAAGAUGUGU